rnacentral:rRNA from 1 species
GACGAACGCUGGCGGCGUGCUUAACACAUGCAAGUCGAGCGGUAAGGCCCUUUCGGGGGUACACGAGCGGCGAACGGGUGAGUAACACGUGGGUGACCUGCCCUUAGCUCUGGGAUAAGCCUGGGAAACUGGGUCUAAUACCGGAUAUGACUCCAUAACGCAUGUUGUGGGGUGGAAAGCCUUGUGCGGCUAGGGGAUGGGGCCCGCGGCCUAAGUCAGCUUGUUGGUGGGGUGAUGGCCUACCAAGGCGACGACGGGUAGCCGGCCUGA